UUAUAAGAUCAUCGGGACGAUGAUCAGUGGUGGGGGCGGUGAAUGUAAUGGCUACAAACACUAUAGUAUUUAUGGUAGUCCUGUUUGGUAGGGUGAGUACGGUAGUUUCUAGCCUACGUGUCCUUUAUGAAUGGGAUGGCAUUAGCUUUGGAGUAAUGGCAGGUGCAUGCUGAUUGCCAGAUGAGUGGUGGUGAUUUCUUGCUUGGAGACUGCAAUGAUGGUUUGUGCCAGCUUGGGAAAACAGUUGUCGUAGCUGUUGUUAGAUGGCAAUGAUGGUUUGUGCCAGAGUUGGAAAACUCUUGUCUAGCUGGUACUAGGAGCUGGCCUGUGUCACUGUUUUGAAUUACUGUUUUGGUCUGGUGUAAAGUAUUGCACAUUUACACGUGAGAUAUUGGGGGUUGUUGAUCCCUUAUGGUAUCAACUUGCUACCACCUAAGCCUAUUUGUGUUUUAGAACUUUUGAUGAGUUGUUAAUAAAUUUCUGUUACCUG